rnacentral:lncRNA from 1 species
UUUUUUUUUUUUUAGAAUUUUUUAUUAUAGUCAAUUUACAGUGUUCUGUCAAUUUCUGCUGUACAGCAAAGUGACCUAGUCUUUUUCUCACAUUAUCCUCCAUCUUGUUCCAUCACAAGUGAGCAUGUAUCUUUUUCAAUGAAGGUUUUGUCUGGAUAUAUGCCUAGGAGUGGGAUUGCUGGGUCAUAUGGUAGUUCUAUAGUUUUCUGAGGUAUUUCCAGGCACUGGUGUUUGCCAGCGGGGAGAGGGAAGGAGUGGGAUGGAUUGGGAGUCUGGGGUUAGUAGGUGCAAACUGUUGCCUUUGGAGUGGAUGGGCCAUGGGAUCCUGCUGUAUAGCAUAGGGAACUGUAUCCAAUCACUUGUGAUGGAUCAGGAUGGAGGAUAAUGUGAGAAAAAGAAUGUGUAUAUAUGUAUAAUUGGGUCACUUUGCUGUAUAGCAGAAAUUGGCAGGACCUUGUAAAAAAAACUAUAAUAAAUUUUUUAAAAAGCAAGGGAAUUUACACGGGAGGCUUGCUUUGGGUGAUGCAAGACGCUAGAUUUCUGUACCUGCCCUGCCCGCCAGGAUCUUAAAAGUUUAUGUAGAGGCCUUAACUAGGCUCAGUCACCAUCCAGGUGGUCUCAGUACCAUCUUACUCUCUCAAGGCUGUGUCUUUGGACAGCUUUUUGGAGUGAGGAAGGCCAACAAAUGCCCAUUCUAAGGACAGAGGAAGGAGUGAGCCACCUCUGAGUACCCAGGUCCAGUUUGCAGGUCAAACCCAAGGCCACGUCCUCUCAAUGACCAACACUCCUGCUGUCGUGAGAGUGACUGGCUCUGACAAUCUCACAUACUCUCCCCCCUUCCCCAGUAGGGUGGGUUUCUUUUUUUCUUUCUUUUUAAAAUAAGUGUUAUUGAAGUAUAGUUAAUUUACAAGGCUGUGAUAAUUUCUGCUCUACAGCAAAGUGACCCAGUCAUACAUAUACACAUAUCCAUUCUUUCUCAGAUUCUUUUCCCACAUAAAUGACCACAGAAUAGUGGGUAGAGUCCUCUGUGCUCUAUAGCAGGUCCCCACUGGCCAGUCAUUCUGUAUGCCUCAGUGGGCAUAUGCCAGUCCCAGGCCCCCAGGAAGGGAUUUCAAGUGGCUCAGUUUGGGCAGCUAUCUGGCCUACAUUGGAAGCAGAUGCCAUGGCAACAGUACAGCCACAUGCAAGAAAAAGCACAGGUUAAGACAUUUACUCUCCAAAUCAGUGGGAGCUUUUUUUUUUUUCCAUGGUUCCCCUGAUCAGAACCACUGAUGCACACCCCCUAGGCUGGGGGUUGGACACUCAGGACAUGCACUUCUGUCCGCUGUGAUUUAAUAAAGACAACAUGUUAGGAGACAGAAGACCCACCAGGCAUGAACUCACCACAGUCUGUCUGGCUACCGGCACAGGUGCCUCCCGGCGAGGCAGUGAUGGAGUCCAAGGCCAUCCUGUGUCAGAGAACAGCUUUUCUGCGCAGAGACGGGUCAGUGUUCAGCAAGGACAGGCUUUGGGGGCCCCCAUUCAAGGCUUGCUGGGUGAACUUGGGGAGGGCCAGUAAGUGUCCGCCAGGCUGAGAGAGGAGACAAAGACAGUGGCCAAAUGAUGGUACCGGGGGGAACCGGAAUGUGUCCCGUGGCCUCGAGGAGCAAGGAGGCUGCUGCUUUAGGCACCUGACUUGGCUGUGCUCCCCAUACAUCUGGGUGAGGCAGCACUAUCGGGUGUGAGGAGAUGGACUGGGGGCAGGAUGAGCCCGACCAGGACCCCACCUUCUCCCCUCAAGGGUGCAUGUUCAUUCCUGUUAGAGUGUGUUUCUACAGGCCCAGCUCGCAGGGGACACAGGGGCCCAGUGGAGGCUGAGUAGUUCCCUCCCCCAGGGGUGCCAAGUAAGCACCCGUCCGGGUGGGACAUCCCAUUGCAAAUCCCGUAGGUGAUGCUCUUCCAGGAGGGAUGGGGCUCGAUGUUUCUCUGCAGCACAGCACAUUGAUCCAUGGUGUAAUCCGGGAAAUUGCUUCCCACCAUCUCCAUACCUUUACGGGAUCAGGUGCCUCGGCAGGGAUCUCCCAUCUGGCAUAUGGGGCAGCAGGCCCUACUGGUUGAUCAUUCCAAUGUAUUAAGACCUGUGACAGUCCUUUAGUCCAUGGGGCCAAGCUGGUUUUACCUGUUAGUCACUUAAUCUGCUGCUUUAACGUCCCAUUUUUCCUUCCUACCUGAUCUCGGGGAGACAGCAGUGAGUGAUGGCUUGAAGCGAGAUCUUCACUCUGUGCUCAGGAAUUGAAUCUGGGCAGCCUGGGUCAAAACCAGGAAUCCUAGCCACUACACCAGCUAGAGGUUAAAAGCAGAAUUUGCCCUGAUUCCUGCCCGCGCCCCCCUGCCCGGCCCUGUGGAAAACAAGAAUGUUGCAAAGGAGGCAAAGACUGUGAAAGCAGGUAUAACGUUUGUUGUUAGAAACAGGACAAUGUGUGGGAGAGCACACAGCUGUUAAUCUAAGGCAGAAGCAGAGCAGUAUACACACCCAAGGGAGUGUGGCUGUGGGUGUUCCCCUCCACGACCAGCAUGUCAGCGAGGUGAUUUGCUUAUUUGUUUAUUUCAUCUUUUUAGAGCCGCACCCAUGGUACAUGGAAGUUCCCAGGCUAGGGGUUGAAUUGGAGCUGCAGCCACAGCCAUGCCAGAUCCGAGCCACGUCUGAGACCUACAUACACCACAGCUCACAGCAACGCCAGAACCUUAACCCACGGAGCAAGGUCAGGGAUCGAACCCACAUCCUCACGGAUACUAGUUGGGUUCAUUACCGCUGAGCCACGAUGCUGAGCCCAGCAAGACAAUUUAAAUCACUUAUAUGGAAGAGUUCUUCUGGGUCUUUGUUUUCCUUUGGCCGAUUAUCUUGUUUCAUGUCUCACACCUGACUGGACCCAGGGCCCUUUCCAAUAUGUGCACAUAUCUUUUGGCCAAGAUGGAUUUCAGGGCACAGGGUUAUGGGCUGGUAUCAGGACUUAUUAUGGCCUGGUGCCCCCUCCUUUUCUUACCCUGAGGGAUCUUUCUGUGCAUGUGUAGUUGGCAUCUCCCUGACCCCGAGGCUGGGAAGUAUGUGACCUCUUGGUCUUUUUCCCGAGCAGGGCUUAGCCCCCCUCUGCCCCUGCCAUUACCAUUACUUAGCAGGUCCACAGAAGACAAGUACCAGUUAUUUGCUUGUGCCUGUUGUUAUUUCUGUCUUGAAGUAUACAUAGGUGGCUGGUUGUCAAUGUCUAUCUGGAGCCCAGCUAUCUCCUGCCUCACACUGAUCCUGCUCUUUGCAGGUUAUAGGGGAGACGGAACCUCCAUUCACUGUCAGGUUCUUUUGCCCAGUCUUGCAUGUCAGGACCUUUGAAAUGUGACCCCCCCAUCACUGUCUAGUCCACGACACUAUCCAUACUUGGUACUCACCUGCCUAAGCCUCCAGUGGUAGCAGCCUGGUUUGCACACCCACAGGGGAAACUAAGGGUAAGUCAGACACAGUGUCCACACAAACCAGAGCAUGUUUAGAACUCUCCCUCACAGGGAAGGGGCCAGUAUCCCCAUUUGCCAAUCUCUCACCCGUUGGGGACUCUAGUCGAUCCCCCCGCUCUGCCCCCCCGCCAGUCCUUUGGCAGUUGCCUCGGACACGUUUAGAGCACACGGGACCCGCUGUUGUUACAUUAACCAAGUAACUGUAUUUCAAAGGCAAUCUGGCAUCCUUGGCAACGCACCAUCCCCCUGAGCACCAUGGUGUCCCCUCUCCCCAGGCACCCCAUGUCUACUGAGGGUCCGUUGCCGGGGCUCCUAGGGAGCUAGGGCAUCAGCUCCCUGAUGGCCAGGAGGAGGCUGUGCCUCGUGAGCCAGGGUAUGGAAACAGGAUCAGGCUCACAGGUGAACCCAAAUUCCUUUCCAUCGAUCCUGACCCCACAAGGGCUUGUUCAUGGCCAUCCAUCCCUCGGUUUACUGUUGUCCAAGCCUUAGGGUUAAUCUCUUUAUAACAGCCUGUCUGUGCAGAGGGUUAACAGCCAGGGCUUGUGCAUGGUCACCAGCCAAACCUCUCUGAGGGCAGCCCACGGGCUGCUGUGGUUCAUUUCUUCCUGAGAUGCUUGGCCUGGAGGAGCGCUGUGUCCACCGUUAGGAGCUGUUGCUCUGUGGGGAUAUUGGCUAACCACCCCCCCCAACACAUACAUACUGAGCUGGUUGCUAUGUGUAUCAGUAGUUUGUUUCUUCUCUUUACUUUUCUUUUCUUUUUUUUUAAAAGAAGAAAGCUUGUCUUUUUUUUCCCCCAGGCCUCACCUGUGGCAUAUGGAAGUUCCCAGGCUAGGGGUCGAAUCAGAGCUACAGCCGCUGGCCUACACCACAACCACAGCAACUCGGGAUCCGAGCCAUGUCUGCAACCUACACCACAGCUCAUGGCAAUGCCGGUUCCUUAACCCAUUGAGUGAGGCCAGGGAUAGAACCCACGUCCUCAUGGGUCCCAGUUGGGUUUGUAACCACUGAGCCAUGAAGGGAACUCCAGCAGUUUUUUUCUUUUACGGCUGAGUGACAGUCGUGGUGCGGAUGUCCGGGUCUAUCUGAGCGUUCACCCACUGAAGGACAUUUGGACUGUUUCCGGUUUGGGGCUAUUACUCGAAUAUUUGUGCAGUUUUUAAGACUGAUUUGAGCUUCGUCAAUAGCCCUUUCUCUCCCUAUAUAAAUAACUUGGCCUAAAAUUUCCCACCGAGAAAAAAGAUCCCCCAAAUAUCAGGAGAACCAAACUUCUCCACCCGUAAUCCAUUUAAAGAUGUCAAAUCCAAAAUCUUCGAGAAAAGUAUACAAGCUCUGGAUCUUUUCUUAUGAGUCAGAUGCUAAACUUCCAUGAGGCAACAUUUAGGGUGAAACCCGAACUGAAGACCUCCUUCCUUCUUUUUCUCUUAAAAUCGUGGCUCACAAAGGAGGUUGACAGCCAGGUGCUGGGAUAACCUUUGUUGUCUGUUGCUGUAUUUGUGGAUUGAUCGAUUGGCUGAUUAGCAGUUACUGGGAUCCUACGAAAGCCCAGGGCAAGACAGUUGGAAUAAUGGUGAGCACCAUGGAGACAGUUUCUUGUGGUGCCUGGAUGGUGAGGAAAUAUCCACACAGGUAGAUCUCAAAUGACACGACGUGGUAAGUGACCUA